CCUCAAACUGUCUUUCUCCAGUCUGUCAUGGUUGUGUGGAGAGACAUGGAUCUACACACGAAAGAUAGUCGUGCUCCAUUUGAGGGGGAUGUAGUUAAACACCAACACAGCUGAUCUUUUGAGAAAUGAGGUACUACAGAAGACCUUGGGCCAACUGGGCUUCCUCACUGCCCUGGCCUUCAGCGGUAAUGUAGCAACACAAUGUUUGAGAUGCUACCAAGAAUGGCCUCCUGAUCCAAGACUGGGCAAACAUGAGCAGGGCUUCAUAAACAGGUCACGGUGACGGCAGAAACAUGGCUCAAGAACUUAACAGUGGUUUAAGCUUCAACAAUGAAUGGCCUUCUGAUCCCAGACCAGAGCUUCGACAACAGCCGAAUUAAUCUUCAACUGAUGACUUGAGGAUCUGCAGCAUUUCACUAUAAGAAAUGGCAAGAUUGAGCAGCUGCGAGGACACCUGUUAACCCUAAGCAGCUGUCACUCACCCUGGAAUAUAAAUAACUAUUGCUUCUGAGAAUUGUACAACUAAAACCAGCUCCCAGUACUGCAACAUACACUGCCAAAAAAACACAAUUGUCACAGUAUAACAGUCUGUUAGAAUUCAGAGAUGUCUGUCUAUUUAGGAAGCACAAGUAAUAGUGAAUCAAUUACACCUGAUUUGGUGCAACUGAAAAUUGCAACCGGCGUAAUGGAGAGGUAAAAGCAAGACAACUCCCAAGAAGGAAAUAUGUUUGUAUGUGGUCCUCGUGGUCCCCCAACUUAAAUACUAUUGAGAACCAAUUGGGCGUUAUGUAGCAUGCAUCCACUCCUGCCAAGUACUGCCCCAGAGUGUCCAGGAGGUCAAUUGAUGCCCUUAUCCAGGUCUGGAAGGAGAACCCGAGGACACAAACCGCCAACUCAACAGGAGCAGGCCCAGAUGUCAGGACUGUAUACAAGCAGGCAGAGGCCAUACACAUUACUGAGUCCCAUUAUGAGUAGUGGCAGCUUGUGGUUUAAAUGUUGACUUUCACUGUGGUUUUGAAUCUGUCUGUCGAUGUGUAGAUUUUUGUUCAUCAAGAUCUGAUGUGUGCUAUAAGUUUUCCCUUAUUAUUUUGAUGUAGUUUAUUUAGCCUGAUUGUAUGUGUACUCAAUAAAAUAUCAUUACCCAAGUCA